GAUGAACGCUGGCGGCGUGCCUAAUACAUGCAAGUCGAACGGAAAGGCCCUGAGCUUGCGCCUCUCACGUUAGCGGCGCACGUGUGUGUCACGCGUGUAUCACCUACUUAUCUGUCUGGGAUAAUUUCGGGAAUCCGGAUCUAAUACCAUAGAAUAUCUUGAACCGCAGUGUUCAAUGGUAAAUGUCGGCUUUUGUGUCUCUUAUCGAGGGUUCCGAGCCGGCUUAGCUGGUUGGUACGGUAACGGCCUACCAAGGCGACGAUGCGUAGCCGACCUGAGAGGGUGAUAGGCCACACGGGAACUGAGACACGGUCCAGACUCCUAAGGGAGGCAGCAGUAGGGAAUGGUAGGCAAUGGGCGAAAGCCUGACGGAGCAACGCCGCGUGAGUGAUGAAGGCCUUCGGAUCGUAAAGCUCUGUUAUUAGGGAAGAACAGAUGUGUAAUUAAACAUGGACGUCUUGACGGUACCUAAUCAGAAAGCAACGGCUAACUACGUG
rnacentral:rRNA from 1 species